ACGUAGGGCGCAAGCGUUAUCCGGAAUUAUUGGGCGUAAAGAGCUCGUAGGCGGUUUGUCGCGUCUGCCGUGAAAGUCCGGGGCUCAACUCCGGGCCUGCAGUCGAUACGGGCGGACUAGAGUUCGGCAGGGGAGACUGGAAUUCCUGGUGUAGCGGUGAAAUGCGCAGAUAUCAGGAGGAACACCGGUGGCGAAGGCGGGUCUCUGGGCCGAUACUGACGCUGAGGAGCGAAAGCGUGGGGAGCGAACAGGA
rnacentral:rRNA from 1 species